rnacentral:lncRNA from 1 species
GCGUCCCAGAAGGCAUUGCGGCGAGACGGGCGGAGCGCAGAACCGCUGGCCUCCGUCGGAGAAGAGUUGGGAACGAGGAAAGAAGGUUCGAGAAGAUGAGGGGGAAAGGGACAACCCCGGGAGUUGGUCUUUUAAGGAUGACCUAGUCCGGUUCACCACAGAGCGUUCCAAGAAUGGGUUAAUAGAACAGUUUAUUGUAAAUGCAACAAAAAACAACAAAAACAUGGACCCAAGAAAGAAGAAACUGAGAUCUACAAGACCCUGUUAACAAGUGAGAAGUGAGAGGUUUAAAACAUUACAGAAACUCUGAUCCGUUUUUCUCUUUUGUUGUGUUUGAGACCGGGUCCCUCAAUGUAGUUCUGGUUGUUCAGGAACUCGCCUUGUAGACCAGGCUUGCUUCAAACACACUUAAGUCUUUCUGCCUCUCUCUCUUUAAAAAAAAAAAUGCUGAGAUGAUGAAAGGCUUGAGCCAUCACUAGUUGAAUAAGUCUUCCAAAACAUUGGGAACUUGAACCAAAUUUGUAUUUAUUUCCUGGCAAAGUUGUAUUUG